UACGUAGGGUCCGAGCGUUGUCCGGAAUUAUUGGGCGUAAAGGGCUCGUAGGCGGUCUGUUGCGUCGGGAGUGAAAAUUCACAGCUUAACUGUGAACUUGCUUCCGAUACGGGCAGACUUGAGGUAUUCAGGGGAGAACGGAAUUCCUGGUGUAGCGGUGAAAUGCGCAGAUAUCAGGAGGAACACCGGUGGCGAAGGCGGUUCUCCUGGGAAUAUCCUGACGCUGAGGAGCGAAAGUGUGGGGAGCGAACAGG
rnacentral:rRNA from 1 species